AACGGCGGCCGUAACUAUAACGGUCCUAAGGUAGCGAAAUUCCUUGUCAGGUAAGUUCUGACCCGCACGAAAGGUGUAACGAUUUGGGCGCUGUCUCGGCAGCAGACUCGGUGAAAUCUUAGUACCUGUGAAAAUGCAGGUUACCCGCAACUAGACGGAAAGACCCCAUGGAGCUUUACUGCAGCCUGAUAUUGAAUUCUGGUCAUACAUGUACAGGAUAGGUGGGAGACAAAGAGACGUGCACGCCAGUGUACGAGGAGUCGUCGUUGGGAUACCACUCUUGUGUGACCGGGGUUCUAACCUGGUAUCGAGAACAGGUACGGGGAGAGUGUCAGGUGGGCAGUUUGACUGGGGCGGUCGCCUCCCAAAGAGUAACGGAGGCGCCCAAAGGUACGCUCAGAUUGGAUGGAAACCAAUCGUCGAGUGCAAUUGCAGAAGCGUGCUUGACUGUGAGACAAACAAGUCGAACAGGGACGAAAGUCGGGAAUAGUGAUCCGGCGGUGCCGAAUGGAAGGGCCGUCGCUCAACGGAUAAAAGCUACCCUGGGGAUAACAGGCUGAUCUCGCCCAAGAGUUCACAUCGACGGCGAGGUUUGGCACCUCGAUGUCGGCUCAUCGCAUCCUGGAGCUGGAUUCGGUUCCAAGGGUUGGGCUGUCCGCCCAUUAAAGCGGUACGCGAGCUGGGUUCAGAACGUCGUGAGACAGUUCGGUCCCUAUCUGUUGUGGGCGAAGGAGAUCUGCGGAGAGCUGUCCUCAGUACGAGAGGACCGGGAUGGACCUACCGCUGGUGCACCGGUUGUUCCGCCAGGGGCAUAGCCGGGUAGCUAAGUAGGGAAAGGAUAAGCGCUGAAAGCAUCUAAGCACGAAGCCUACUCCAAGAUGAGAUCUCCCAUUCGCAAGAAGUAAGACCCCUUAAAGACGAUAAGGUAGAUAGGCCAGGGAUGGAAGUGCAGUGAUGUACGGAGUUGACUGGUACUAAUCGGUCGAGGACUUAAUCAG
rnacentral:rRNA from 1 species